GAACGGCUACCUGCAAGUCGAGCGGAGAUGAGGUGCUUGCACCUUAUCUUAGCGGCGGACGGGUGAGUAAUGCUUAGGAAUCUGCCAUUUAGUGGGGGACAACAUUCCGAAAGGAAUGCUAAUACCGCAUACGUCCUACGGGAGAAAGCAGGGGAUCUUCGGACCUUGCGCUAAAUGAUGAGCCUAAGUCGGAUUAGCUAGUUGGUGGGGUAAAGGCCUACCAAGGCGACGAUCUGUAGCGGGUCUGAGAGGAUGAUCCGCCACACUGGGACUGAGACACGGCCCAGACUCCUACGGGAGGCAGCAGUGGGGAAUAUUGGACAAUGGGCGGAAGCCUGAUCCAGCCAUGCCGCGUGUGUGAAGAAGGCCUUUUGGUUGUAAAGCACUUUAAGCGAGGAGGAGGCUACUAGUACUAAUACUACUGGAUAGUGGACGUUACUCGCAGAAUAAGCACCGGCUAACUCUGUGCCAGCAGCCGCGGUAAUACAGAGGGUGCGAGCGUUAAUCGGAUUUACUGGGCGUAAAGCGUGCGUAGGCGGCUUUUUAAGUCGGAUGUGAAAUCCCCGAGCUUAACUUGGGAAUUGCAUUCGAUACUGGGAAGCUAGAGUAUGGGAGAGGAUGGUAGAAUUCCAGGUGUAGCGGUGAAAUGCGUAGAGAUCUGGAGGAAUACCGAUGGCGAAGGCAGCCAUCUGGCCUAAUACUGACGCUGAGGUACGAAAGCAUGGGGAGCAAACAGGAUUAGAUACCCUGGUAGUCCAUGCCGUAAACGAUGUCUACUAGCCGUUGGGGCCUUUGAGCUUUAGUGGCGCAGCUAACGCGAUAAGUAGACCGGCUGGGAGUACGUCGCAGAAUAAACUCAAAUGAUUGACGGGGGCCCGCACAAGCGGUGGAGCAUGUGGUUUAAUUCGAUGCAACGCGAAGAACCUUACCUGGCCUUGACAUACUAGAAACUUUCCAGAGAUGGAUUGGUGCCUUCGGGAAUCUAGAUACAGGUGUUUCUAUGGCCGGUUUGAGCUCGUGUCGUGAGAUGUUGGGUUAAGUCCCGCAACGAGCGCAACCCUUUUCCUUACUUGCCAGCAUUUCGGAUGGGAACUUUAAGGAUACUGCCAGUGACAAACUGGAGGAAGGCGGGGACGACGUCAAGUCAUCAUGGCCCUUACGGCCAGGGCUACACACGUGCUACAAUGGUCGGUACAAAGGGUUGCUACCUAGCGAUAGGAUGCUAAUCUCAAAAAGCCGAUCGUAGUCCGGAUUGGAGUCUGCAACUCGACUCCAUGAAGUCGGAAUCGCUAGUAAUCGCGGAUCAGAAUGCCGCGGUGAAUACGUUCCCGGGCCUUGUACACACCGCCCGUCACACCAUGGGAGUUUGUUGCACCAGUAAGUAGGUAGUCGAACCGCAAGGAGGACGCUUACCACGGAUG
rnacentral:rRNA from 1 species